CACGGUCCCCUGUUCUCCAACACUGAUGUCCCUUCCCUUUCCCACCAGUAAGAAAGAGAGCAAGAAAGAUGUAAAAGGUUAAUUGUAUCUAAGAAUACUUAUGACCGUUUGCAUUUUCUAUCAGUCACACACGGCCCUUUGUCUCUAUCUCAACGGCCUGUGACCUUUUGUUAUGCUGCCUAAUGAAACCUGGGCCAUAAAUCACACUCUCUCUUCCACUUAUUUACUGCUCUUUGGGAGUCUAUCUUUCUUCUCCCGCUCGCUUUCCUCCCUUUUUCCUUCUUUAUAUUUCAUUCUGUAUGUCUCUCUCUUUCUCUCUACCGCCCUCUGCUCAUCCUCUCUCUCUCCUUUCCUCUCUCUUUCUCAUCCCCCCUUCCCUAAAAGGAAAUGAAGAUUAGAACCUGACUCUUUCAAUACAUGUACUUCAUAUAUCUCUGGCUCUCUGUGUGUGUGUUUUAUCAUACUAUAGAUGUGUACUUCAUCAUACCAUAUAUGUGUGCUUCAUUAUACUACAGAUGUGUACUUCAUCAUACCAUAGAUGUGAACUUCAUUAUAUUUCAGACAGCCACCAGGUUAGAGGGAGGGGAGGUUAAAGGGACAGCCACCAGGUUAGAAAGAGGGGAGGUUAAAGGGACAGCCACCAGGUUAGAAAGAGGGGAGGUUAAAGGGACAGCCACCAGGUUAGAGGAAGGGGAGGUUAAAGGGACAGCCACCAGGUUAGAGGAAGGGGAGGUUAAAGGGACAGGAACCAGGUUAGAGAGAGGGGAGGUUAAAGGGACAGCCAUAAGGUUAGAGAGAGGAGGUUAAAGGGACAGCCACCAGGUUAGAGAGAGGGGAGGUUAAAGGGACAGCCACCAGGUUAGAGGAAGGGGAGGUUAAAGGGACAGCCACCAGGUUAGAGAGAGGGGAGGUUAAAGGGACAGCCACCAGGUUAGAGGAAGGGGAGGUUAAAGGGACAGCCAUCAGGUUAGAGAGAGGGGAGGUUAAAGGGACAGCCACCAGGUUAGAGGGAGGGGAGGUUAAAGGGACAGUCACCAGGUUAGAGGGAGGGGAGGUUAAAGGGACAGCCACCAGGUUAGAGGGAGGGGAGGUUAAAGGGACAGCCACCAGGUUAGAGAGAGGGGAGGUUAAAGGGACAGCCAUCAGGUUAGAGAGAGGGGAGGUUAAAGGGACA
rnacentral:lncRNA from 1 species